UGCAAGCUCCAUUCUUGUCAGCCUCU
rnacentral:piRNA from 1 species